rnacentral:rRNA from 1 species
CCCUACGGGGGAAAGCGGGGGCUCUUCGGACCUCGCGCUAUCAGAUGAGCCUGCGUUAGAUAGCUAGUUGGUAGGGUAAAGGCCUACCAAGGCGACGAUCUAUAGCUGGUCUGAGAGGACGAUCAGCCACACUGGGACUGAGACACGGCCCAGACUCCUACGGGAGGCAGCAGUGGGGAAUAUUGGACAAUGGGCGCAAGCCUGAUCCAGCAAUACCGCGUGUGUGAAGAAGGCCUUAGGGUUGUAAAGCACUUUCAAUUGGGAGGAAAACCUGCCGGUCAAUACCCGGUAGCUUGACAUUACCUUUAGAAGAAGCACCGGCUAACUCCGUGCCAGCAGCCGCGGUAAUACGGAGGGUGCGAGCGUUAAUCGGAAUUACUGGGCGUAAAGCGUGCGUAGGGCGUUCGUUAAGUCAGAUGUGAAAGCCCCGGGCUUAACCUGGGAACUGCAUUUGAAACUGGCGGACUAGAGUUGAGUAGAGGGGAGUGGAAUUUCAGGUGUAGCGGUGAAAUGCGUAGAUAUCUGAAGGAACACCAGUGGCGAAGGCGACUCCCUGGAU